rnacentral:rRNA from 1 species
AUUGAACGCUAGCGGGAUGCUUUACACAUGCAAGUCGAGCGAGCGGCGGACGGGUGAGUAAUGUAUGGGGACUGCCCGAUAGAGGGGGAUAAAUACUGGAAACGGUAGCUAAUAACGCAUACUAUCGGAUAACGCAGAUUGGAUUAGCUAGUAGGUGAGGUAAUGGCUCACCUAUGCCACGAACCCUAGCUGGUCUGAGAGGCUGAUCAGCCACACUGGGACUGAGACACGGCCCAGACUCCGACGGAGGCAGCAGUGGGGAAUAUUGCACAAUGGGCGCAAGCCUGAUGGAGCCAUGCCGCGUGUAUGAAGAAGGCCUUAGGGUUGUAAAGUACUUUCAGUCGGGAGGCGUUACCGACAGAAGAAGCACCGGCUAACUCCGUGCCAGCAGCCGCGGUAAUUC